GAUUUCAUGGCCUAAUGGAUAAGGCGCUGGUUUACGAAACCAGAGAUUGUGGGUUCGAUCCCUAGUUAAGUUG
rfam:Ipomoea nil DNA, scaffold: scaffold2647, cultivar: Tokyo-kokei standard.